UACGUAGGGUCCGAGCGUUGUCCGGAAUUACUGGGCGUAAAGAGCUCGUAGGUGGUUUGUCGCGUUGUUCGUGAAAACUCACAGCUUAACUGUGGGCGUGCGGGCGAUACGGGCAGACUGGAGUACUGCAGGGGAGACUGGAAUUCCUGGUGUAGCGGUGGAAUGCGCAGAUAUCAGGAGGAACACCGGUGGCGAAGGCGGCUCUCUGGGUCUGUCCUGACGCUCAGGCGCGAAAGCUAGGGGAGCAAACAGG
rnacentral:rRNA from 1 species